AGCAUAUUAUUCUUGUAGUAUUUAGUUCAGUAGAUUUAAAAAAAAAUGUAUCCUUUGCUUUGGAAGCUUACAAAACAACCCUAAUGCUGUUUUACUCUAUUAAUAUGCAUGGAAUCUCUCCCUUUGGAGUGACGCAUUUUGUGCAUUAAAUUCUAGGGAGAAACUUCAUAGAAAUCAAUGAACAUACUUUCUUUCUUAAGUCUGCUUGUAUAUUUCCUCUGUCUUUCACAUAAAUAUAAACCAGCAGAUUGGAUGCCUUAACAAUGCAAAUCAUAUUCAUUUCACUUGUACAUUGUAACUGUGCACCAGAACUGUCAGUCAUCACUAACAUUCUAAGAAAAAAGAAAAAGAAAAAAAGAAAAAAAAAAAAACAAAGAAAUCGAAAAGCACAAAAGAACUGUUUUGUUACCUUAAGACAAUGUAACUUUUUCUAGUAGAGCAAGAAAUCAUUUACAACAAUGCUGCAACUGUGCAUGCCCCCAUAUGGAUUUUGCAAUGGUUUUCACUAGGCUGUCAAGAGUGCGAUUUUUAUGGGUUGGGGUGGGUGGGGGAGGGGAGUUGUGGGAGGGUAGGGGAGGGAGGAAAGCUGUUUUUCAUGGUGAGAAAUAAUAAUGAUGACUAAUAAUAAUAAAAAAAACUGGAAAAUGUAAGCAAGGUGGACGCAUUGCUUCUCGGUACUCAGAAAGGUUAUCUGAAUUUGCGUGGUAAGCGCUGGCCUGAAGAUGUACACAAGUUAAAGCCAUAUUUUAUCUGGUGAGCCCCUUAACUGUUUCUGAAGGAAUGAACGGUCAGCCGGGAAGGUGUCCGGCUUAGACCUUGACAACAGACACUACCCAUCUGUCAGCCAUGUGCAGUGGUUAGAACUCUUCUUGAAAGUCCAAAGAGCCUUUAAAAUGUGUAUAAUUUGUGUUUUGUUGCUUCUAUUUCUAUUGAUUAGAUGAAAAGACAUUCUGGCCCUCUGAUCCUCUUUCUUCUCCACAAAAGUUUUACAAAUAAAAGAUGUUCCCCUAAAUACAGAAUAUGGCUUUAAGAAGAAAAUGAAAUGAAGAAUUAAAUUAAGAUUUCAGUGUUGGGGGAAAAAAUACAGCUUCUGGAUGACUGGAUUGCAUAACAUUGCCCUGGCCUCACAUUGUACUAGGAUGCAGCUUAAAUGAAGUCAUCUCUAAAUCUACUAACCUUUCACCUUCUUAUCAAAACUUUUUGAAUAGACACACACUGUACAGUUCAAUUGUUAGAGAACCUAACUACUGUAGAGAUUGUUAAAUUUUUUUUUUUUUUUUGCAAAAAUUCAAGCUGUAAAAACUUUUCAACUUUCACAAUAUUUAAUUAAAGUUACUUCCUGUUUGUG
rnacentral:lncRNA from 1 species